GACGAACGCUGGCGGCGUGCUUAACACAUGCAAGUCGAACGAGAAAUAUAUAUUUGAGAUUUCGGUUGAAAAUAUAUAUGGAAAGUGGCGGACGGGUGAGUAACGCGUGAGCAAUCUACCCUUCACAAAGGAAUAGCCUCGUGAAAACGGGAUUAAUGCCAUAUGAAACCUAAGUAUCGCAUGAUAAGAAGGUUAAAGAUUUAUCGGUGAAGGAUGAGCUCGCGUCCCAUUAGCUAGUUGGAGAGGUAACGGCUCACCAAGGCGACGAUGGGUAGCCGAUCUAAGAGGAUGACCGGCCACAUUGGAACUGAGACACGGUCCAAACUCCUACGGGAGGCAGCAGUGGGGAAUAUUGCACAAUGGAGGGAACUCUGAUGCAGCGACGCCGCGUGAGCGAUGAAGGUUUUCGAAUCGUAAAGCUCUGUCCUAUGGGAAGAUAAUGACAGUACCAUAGAAGAAAGCCCCGGCUAACUACGUGCCAGCAGCCGCGGUAAUACGUAGGGGGCGAGCGUUGUCCGGAAUUAUUGGGCGUAAAGAGUGCGUAGGCGGUCAAUUAAGUCAGAUGUGAAAACUUAGGGCUCAACCUUAAGAGUGCAUCUGAAACUGAUAGACUUGAGCCAAGGAGAGGAAAGUGGAAUUCCUAGUGUAGCGGUGAAAUGCAUAGAUAUUAGGAGGAAUACCGGUGGCGAAGGCGACUUUCUGGACUUGAGCUGACGCUGAGGCACGAAAGCGUGGGGAGCAAACAGGAUUAGAUACCCUGGGUAGUCCACGCCGUAAACGAUGAGUGCUAGGUGUCUGGAAGAGAUUUUAGGUGCCGACGUUAACACAUUAAGCACUCCGCCUGGGGGAGUACGUACGCAAGUAUGAAACUCAAAGGAAUUGACGG
rnacentral:rRNA from 1 species